AGCGAACGCUGGCGGCAGGCCUAACACAUGCAAGUCGAGCGCCCCGCAAGGGGAGCGGCAGACGGGUGAGUAACACGUGGGAACGUGCCCUUCGGUUCGGAAUAGCCCGGGGAAACUCGGAGUAAUACCGGAUACGUCCGCAAGGAGAAAGAUUUAUCGCCGAAGGAGCGGCCCGCGUCUGAUUAGCUUGUUGGUGAGGUAACGGCUCACCAAGGCUACGAUCAGUAGCUGGUCUGAGAGGAUGAUCAGCCACACUGGGACUGAGACACGGCCCAGACUCCUACGGGAGGCAGCAGUGGGGAAUAUUGGACAAUGGGCGCAAGCCUGAUCCAGCCAUGCCGCGUGAGUGAUGAAGGCCCUAGGGUUGUAAAGCUCUUUCGGCGGGGAAGAUAAUGACGGUACCCGCAGAAGAAGCCCCGGCCAACUUCGUGCCAGCAGCAGCCGCGGUAA
rnacentral:rRNA from 1 species